UGCCGAUGGGAACGGAGUGCUCGCUUGUGCUGGGGGCCCCAGCCGUGAAGGUGGCAUGCUCAGGCUUACCUCUGGGAGUGGAGACGGCGGACAAUCACAAUCCUGGUGCACGUUACACAGAAGCCCCGGGGUUCUGUGACAGCAUAUUUGCUUUAGGCUCCUGAUCUAUUCCCUCCAAUCUCAUGAAAAAGGGAUUACGGAAAGAGGCAAGAUUAGUAUCAGGACAGCUGCUCAUAAAAAAAAAAAAGUGAGGUCAUGGCAAAUUUUUUGGCCACGUUGAAUUUUUUUAGUGGCCUGGUGAGUUUCUCAAACUGCAAAGCUGCCUCCAGUUUACGCUUGGCCCCAAUUCUCAUGUUUGUUUCUGUUGCACCAUGGAGUCAUCAUCCAGCUCGGGCAUGCUUUGGGGUUGGGGCUCUCCCUCUCAACCCCUCGCAGCAACACAGAGACAGUGCUCACAUUUGCACACUGCUUGUUCCAGGACACUCACUCCUUGCUUGCCUUUCUGUCCUGGAAGACUGGCCUAGGCAGGUUCAAAGGAGACCUCAGGGCUCCUUACUGUCCCUACUGGACCCUGGGCAAGGAGCCAGGCCCAGGCAUCCAGCACUGGCCCCUGGCCCUUUGGACCUGAAUGGGACUUCCCCGAGUCUCCAGAGCAAAAGGAUCAUCAGCUCUACCUUUCCACUUCUCUACGACAGACAACCCUGCUUCCUACCACCUUUUCCAGGUUUCUGUAGGCCCCUCUGUGGACUUGGGGCAAGGGGUGCAUUUCCACCCAGGGAGAAAGCAGUGCGCUGUUUCAUGGCUCCCCCUUCUUGACAUUGCCCUUGCACCAUCUGCUUCCUCCCUCCACUCUCUUCCCUUCCAUUCGAUCUUAAUUAAUUAAUUAAUUAAUUAUUGUCAUUUCAAAGUUAAAUGAUGUUGGUUUUAAGUGACUCGGCCUCCCUGAAAUAUAAGUGAUCAAGGUGACUUUGAACUCACAAACUUUAGGAGAUGCAUGUCCCCUUAAUGUUCAGAUACCAAGAGUCUGAGCCUCCAACCCAAAGACAACAGGAAGUCCCCAGGUACCUUGUGGGGGUAGCUCUGAGGAAUGCUUGUAUAUUCCAGAAAACCUUCGUUGUGGCCACUGGUCAGUCUGUACCUAUAAUCACCCUGGUGAUUAUAUCUAAUGAUACUGUAUUACAUACUGCAUUGCCUCUAGGUCCUAGGUCAGUGCUGUCUGGCUUCUUCCCAACCUAGCCUUUGGGUGUCCACGAAGCCUCCUGAAGCACAGCUCUGUCCAGAUGGUAACAGUCAAUGAGUCUACUCUGAAGACUCGGAAUCACAGAAGCACAGUAAUUGAUACCAGAAGCAUCUACUCUGGGAGGCCUACAAAUCUUAAUCUGAUUUCUGUUACCUAGUGAGGAAGAGCUCGACUUCCAACACAGAUCUCAGUGCAUCUUCAUUAACUCACAAUCCAGGCCUAAUUGCACCUUACUCCUGGAGAUCCAAAAGCCACUUCCGUCCUCCUUGUCAAUAGCCCUGUCAAUAGCCCUGUCAAAUAGCCUCCCUCUGUUCUUUAUUGCAAAUAAAAUUGCCACCAGGAAUGCCAACUGCCCCUUAUUCAUAAGAUAUGGUUUAGUUUCCCUGGCCUGGAAAAGACAAUCACAAUAUAGUGCAUUUGGGGCUUCAGAACACUUCAGCAGAACAGAGGGCUUUUGUUUCACCCUCUUUAUGGUCCUGUUUCCAGAGUGUGAGGAAGUUAUACCUUCUGAUGACCAAAAGUGAGUAGCUCUUGGACACACACACAAUAGCAGCAACUCCACUCCCAUGGCCAUCACCUUCACCACCACCACUAAUGCCACCACCAUGACCAUCAGCUUCACCACCAUCACCACCACCACCAUCUUCAUCUGUAGCCCUAUCUUUGCCACCAUCACCACCAAAUCACCACUGAACACAUUUGUGGAAGUGCAGCCCUUAUUUACUUAUUCAGAAGUUCUUAUCUAAACCAAGGAAGGCACAGCCUCAAUAAAAGAUCUAUUUUAUAAAUCCGACAGAGAAAGACAAAUAGGGCAGGAUAUCACUUAUACAUGGAAUCUAAAAAAGCUGAACUCAGAGAAACAGAUGUAGAGUGGUUUCCAGGGGCCUGGGAGUGGGAAGUGGGGAGAUAUUGGUCAAAGGAUACAAAUUUCCAGUUACAAGGUUAACAAGUUCUAGGGAUCAAUGUAUAACCUGGUGAUUAUAACUAAUGAUACUGUAUUAUAUACUUGAAAGUUAUUAAGAAGAUUUAAAAUUUUCUUGCUAAAAUAAUAAGUAAUUAGGUGACAGAAUGGAGGUGUUAACUAAUGCUAUGGUAGUAAUCAUUUUGCAAUACAUAAAUGUAUCAAAUCAACACAUUAUAUACCUUAAACAAUGUUAUAUAUCAAUUAUAUCUCAAGAAAGCUGGGAAAAAAGGCCAUGAGAGACAUCUGAAUUUCACUGACGCUGGACACCCUACAUCAAUAUCCCCUACAUCUACAGAAUCAACAAAUUCUCCAAAGUGAUCUCUCACAGAAGUAAAGGAGGAAUUGACCCCCAGACAAGGGCUGAACUUCUAGAUGGCAGAAACAAUCACAGUUCUUCAUUUGAGUCCCACGAAUAGAAUUCAGGAGUUCAUGAACUUGGAUGACAAAAAAAAUUACAUCUUUAUUUCCACCGACCUCUCACUCUUCCCAUUGAGGUACAAAAUUGCCUCCAUCCUUUUGGAUCGCUUUGAGGUGCCAGAGUUCCUUUACCCAUUCCUGAUGGAUGUGCAGGUUGAUUCCAAUUUCCCUCCUAUUCUGAUUAUUGCUGCAGUGAACCUGGAUGCUUUCCCUGAGGGGUCCUCUCUCCUCACCUUCUCAUGCCCAUGUCCUUGAGUGUCUCAGCCACUUUUGAGGAUCUGUUCCUGAGGAAAUUGAGAAUAUUCCUGGCUUCCACGGGAACAGGCCUCCAUUGUGCGCCACUGCCCUGGGCUGCUUGGCAAGGGUGCUGUCUGCAGCCUCAUGAGAGACCCUCUUGGAGAGUGUGUGAGGACCCUGGGGAACAGAACUCAGCUCCUCCAAGAAGCAGCCACAAGACAUACCCAGACUCACCCCUACCCAGCCUGACUCUGACCUGGGCCGAGCAUGCACGAGUCAUGGGCCAGCUGCCUUCUGCUCCCCUCUUCUAAGCAUCUAGUGCCACAGAACCAUCCAAGCCUCAUGAGCAGGAAAUAAAGGUGCCUAGAGCUUGGCACUUGUAAGCCAAGAUGAGCCCACCUCAUUUACAUGCACAGUGAACACCAUUCAGUGCCAGGCACGCUUUUCCCCUUUUCUCAAAGACCACGCUGAGAUGUGUGUGAAAUGGACAAAGGCAGGUGAGGAGGAACUGGGCUGUGAAUACUGCUCAGGUGAUAAGGAAGUUACCUGCCCUCGGCCCAGCGAAACCUCAGAGCCCUCCCCGGCAGCUCAGUGUCAAGCUCAACUGACAAGUGUUUUGCUGGAUGUGUCUCAGGGGUAGGGCAAGAGGGGCCAAUGCACCUGUACAUGAGCAGGCCUGUGGGACAUCCUGCUGGGUGCUGGUGCUGAUGUGCCCUGGGGCUCCAGUUGACCAUCUGGUUGGCUCUAGUGGGUCUCUGCAUUCUCGAGCCUUCGGACUCAGGCUGAACUAUACUUAAUUUUUCAGUUUACAGAGGGUAGACGAUAGGAUCUCACAGCCUCCAUAAGCACAUGAGCCAAU